AAAGAAAAUAAAAGAAAAGAAAAACAGCUCUGCAGAGGAUUCCAAAUCCUCCUUUCACUUUAUAAAAUUUAAACUACAAUUCUCAAAAGAAAAACAAAAAAAAUUAAAUGCAUGACUUUCCAUUCCCACAGCAAUCCAGAUCUCGAAAAGAAAAACCCAGAAAUGAGAUCAAAUCAAAAUUAUAUACAGAUAAAAAUCUAACCAUUUAUAACAUCACAUUGUUUACCAAAAUUGAGAUAAACCCAACAAAAAUGGAAGCGAUUUAGGGUUUUGUGGAGGGUAAAUACCA
rnacentral:misc_RNA from 1 species